CACCGCGGUUAUACGAGAGGCCCAAGUUGACAACCGACGGCGUAAAGCGUGGUUAGGGGAAAUAUAAACUAAAGCCGAACGCCCCCAAUGCUGUCUAAUGCUUCGAGGGUAUGAAGAACAUCGACGAAAGUGGCUUUAUGACACCUGAACCCACGAAAGCUGGGAAA
rnacentral:rRNA from 1 species